rnacentral:rRNA from 1 species
GUCGAGCGGCAGCACGGGUACUUGUACCUGGUGGCGAGCGGCGGACGGGUGAGUAAUGCCUAGGAAUCUGCCUGGUAGUGGGGGAUAACGCUCGGAAACGGACGCUAAUACCGCAUACGUCCUACGGGAGAAAGCAGGGGACCUUCGGGCCUUGCGCUAUCAGAUGAGCCUAGGUCGGAUUAGCUAGUUGGUGAGGUAAUGGCUCACCAAGGCGACGAUCCGUAACUGGUCUGAGAGGAUGAUCAGUCACACUGGAACUGAGACACGGUCCAGACUCCUACGGGAGGCAGCAGUGGGGAAUAUUGGACAAUGGGCGAAAGCCUGAUCCAGCCAUGCCGCGUGUGUGAAGAAGGUCUUCGGAUUGUAAAGCACUUUAAGUUGGGAGGAAGGGCAGUUACCUAAUACGUAUCUGUUUUGACGUUACCGACAGAAUAAGCACCGGCUAACUCUGUGCCAGCAGCCGCGGUAAUACAGAGGGUGCAAGCGUUAAUCGGAAUUACUGGGCGUAAAGCGCGCGUAGGUGGUUCGUUAAGUUGGAUGUGAAAUCCCCGGGCUCAACCUGGGAACUGCAUUCAAAACUGUCGAGCUAGAGUAUGGUAGAGGGUGGUGGAAUUUCCUGUGUAGCGGUGAAAUGCGUAGAUAUAGGAAGGAACACCAGUGGCGAAGGCGACCACCUGGACUGAUACUGACACUGAGGUGCG